rnacentral:rRNA from 1 species
GGUAACAUCAAAUCGUACCCCAAACCGACACAGGUGGUCAGGUAGAGAAUACCAAGGCGCUUGAGAGAACUCGGGUGAAGGAACUAGGCAAAAUGGUGCCGUAACUUCGGGAGAAGGCACGCUGAUACGUAGGUGAAGCGACUUGCUCGUGGAGCUGAAAUCAGUCGAAGAUACCAGCUGGCUGCAACUGUUUAUUAAAAACACAGCACUGUGCAAACACGAAAGUGGACGUAUACGGUGUGACGCCUGCCCGGUGCCGGAAGGUUAAUUGAUGGG